rnacentral:rRNA from 1 species
UACGUCGGGCCCCAGCGUUGUUCGGAUUUACUGGGCGUAAAGGGCGCGUAGGCGGCGUGGUAAGUCACUUGUGAAAUCUCUGAGCUCAACUCAGAACGGCCAAGUGAUACUGCUGUGCUAGAGUGCAGAAGGGGCAAUCGGAAUUCUUGGUGUAGCGGUGAAAUGCGUAGAUAUCAAGAGGAACACCUGAGGUGAAGACGGGUUGCUGGGCUGACA